rnacentral:rRNA from 1 species
CAGCAGCCGCGGGAAUACGUAGGUGGCAAGCGUUGUCCGGAAUUAUUGGGCGUAAAGCGCGCGCAGGCGGAUCAGUUAGUCUGUCUUAAAAGUUCGGGGCUUAACCCCGUGAUGGGAUGGAAACUGCUGAUCUAGAGUAUCGGAGAGGAAAGUGGAAUUCCUAGUGUAGCGGUGAAAUGCGUAGAUAUUAGGAAGAACACCAGUGGCGAAGGCGACUUUCUGGGCGAAAACUGACGCUGAGGCGCGAAAGCCAGGGGAGCGAACGGGAUUAGAGACCCCCGUAGUCCCUGUCUCUUAUACA